AAAGAAACCAACCGGGAUUGCCUCAGUAACGGCGAGUGAAGCGGCAAGAGCUCAAAUUUGAAAGCUGGCUCCUUCGGGGUCCGCAUUGUAAUUUGCAGAGGAUGCUUCGGGUGCGGCCCCUGUCUAAGUGCCCUGGAACGGGCCGUCAGAGAGGGUGAGAAUCCCGUCUGGGAUGGGGUGUCCGCGCCCGUGUGAAGCUCCUUCGACGAGUCGAGUUGUUUGGGAAUGCAGCUCUAAAUGGGUGGUAAAUUUCAUCUAAAGCUAAAUACUGGCCGGAGACCGAUAGCGCACAAGUAGAGUGAUCGAAAGAUGAAAAGCACUUUGAAAAGAGAGUUAAAAAGCACGUGAAAUUGUUGAAAGGGAAGCGCUUGCGACCAGACUCGCCUCCAGGGUUCAGCCGGCAUUCGUGCCGGUGUACUUCCCUGGGGGCGGGCCAGCGUCGGUUUGGGCGGCCGGUCAAAGGCUCCCGGAAUGUAGUGCCCUCCGGGGCACCUUAUAGCCGGGAGUGCAAUGCGGCCAGCCUGGACCGAGGAACGCGCUUCGGCACGGACGCUGGCAUAAUGGUCGUAAACGAC
rnacentral:rRNA from 11 species